CUGAUUCAGAUCAACUGGUCUAAAUGUGUGUGUCCCUGUGUGUGCCUGGGGGAAGGAGGCUGCCCUAAAAAGCCUGAGCUGAAGGGAAAGCAGCGCUGUGCAGCAUGGCCAGAGGGACUCAGGUUGUGCACUGGAGGUGUGUGAGAUGCAUGAACAGCUCAGAAAUCCGCUAGAGAGACGCAAACAAUUUCUGAAUCAGUUUGCAAACUCUGUUUUUAAACUUAAGAUGAGUGAUUCCGGAUGGCACUCGUUGCAGCCGUGCCCUAACCUUUGCUUGUGGAAUACUGUGCGUUGUAGGAACUGCUCCAGUACCUCAGCAAAGAUGGUCUGUUGCAUCUUUGGCGCUUGUGUUUAACACUGGGGAGACUCUGCUGUGUGGACUGCUUUGCAGAUGUUAUUGCAGUAUUCUCCAAUCAGCAGCUUGACGCCUGAAAUGUUACUUGGUGGUUGUUUUCUUUUCCCCUUUGCAACGAUCUGAAGUUCUGAUGUAGUUUAGCUCAGAGAUGGAAAACAAAACAAAAACGCAAGCAGAGGAGCCAGCGUUUUCACCUCUUCAUCCAAUCUGAAAGCUUUGGGUUUUCUUUAAUUAAAAUCAGUGCAAGGCUCCCAGGGAGGCAGCAGCCCCCUCCCCCAUCCAUGUCGUGUGCUCCGUGCUUCUUCCUGGGGUGCAGCGCUGAAAUGGCACAGCUUCAUUUUGCCUGCACCCCGUCCUCCCAGCCCGUGGGCUUCAGAGGGGUUGAAGAGAUCGGUGUGGUACGAUGCCAGGCUUCCCACAGACGCUCCCUGCAGCCAUCCCUUGCCUGGCUCGGGGACAGGCUGGCACUGCUCUGCUCCCCAUGCUGCCCUCGUGCUUCAGAAGAGCGUGCACUGCACGUGAGCUGUAGCCUGCACAGCGUGCACCGCCAUAGGUCCUGGAAUGAUGCUGUUAUGGUCCCCAGGGGAAGGGCCCGUUGCACUGCCAGCUGCCCUGCCCCGCUCACCCUCUUCAUGUGCCAUUUCUUGAGAGGCAAUAAAUUGUAUUGUACCACUGUCUACCAUUACUCUGUUCAAUACGCACAUCUCUGGAUAUAUAUAUAUAUAUGGUAUCUCCCUUGUAUAUAUUUCUAUACUCUGUGUGUGUGGGUGUGCACGCACCCAAGUCCUGCUGUGCAGUUCUGCCAGGGCACUUCAGUUCUGCUGUUCUGUAGCACUCUCUGCUCGUGGGCCCUGCGGGGCUCUCUGAGGACAAGGGCACGACGCGUGCUGGGGCUGGGCGCAGCCAGAAGCCCUUCCUUAACAGUGCCCUGUUCAUCAUUGCUUUUGUUUUGCAGGGAGCAGGAGGGCAGGAUAGCUGCUAGCAGUGUGUUGGAAAGCUCCCGGAGGGUACCGGCAAGUCGGAGGGCUGCAGAGAAGAAAACCAAGUGGUGUGGUGGUAGGGAAGCACAGAGCUGCUGAGGGGCGGUGAGCAGCAGGUGGGUGUGCAGGCUCAGCUCGGUCCCAGCAGCAUCACUGUGGGCUCCAACCUUUGGUGCUCCCGAGUUAAAGCUGCCGCUGGCUCCUAGCACUGUGGUUUGUGAUUAGAGCAGGUUUGUGGAGGAUGGCAAGAGAAGUGACAUCGGAUGAUUUGGUGUAUGUGUGCGCAGACCUGCGCAUACGUAUAGAGACAAUUCUGGUGCGUUCCUUGUUCUGCUUAGGCACGUGUGCUUUGUUACUCAAGUCCCGUGAGCAGAGGAUGGCCUUGUUCUCCCCUGGGUGCCAUGCUGGACGGAUGGCCGCCCUCAAGCUGUGAAGCCCUCUUGUCCUGACCUCCUCCUUGGUCCUCUGAGACCCCAACAUCUUAGCGAGACAUCGGGCAGGUAACGGUCUGUGCCAGCUAGCAGAAAGCUACUGUAAUUGCCAGUCGUAGUGCAGCAUGCAUCUAAUCCCUGAGACUGUCGAAGUGACGCUGUAAGGAAUUGUGCUUCUGUAUUGCCGGGGGGAGCGGGGCUCAGCCGGGGGUCGCCGCGCUCCUCCCCCCCUCCGCGCCGUGUGCCGCAGUGUGGGCAGCCCGACGGACGGCGGCGGUGCUCGGAGCGCUCCCGGGGCUGAGCUCAGCGGGUUCCGUUUCUUUGCUGCGGUUUUAACGCCGUCUGAUGACUUCUUUUUUUCUUUCAGCCUCUGUAGAAAUGAGACGUUUUUCCCCUUCUCGGUGCUUUUGGCUUAAGG
rnacentral:lncRNA from 1 species